UGGGGAAUAUUGCACAAUGGGCGCAAGCCUGAUGCAGCCAUGCCGCGUGUGUGAAGAAGGCCUUCGGGUUGUAAAGCACUUUCAGCGAGGAGGAAGGUGGUGAACUUAAUACGUUCAUCAAUUGACGUUACUCGCAGAAGAAGCACCGGCUAACUCCGUGCCAGCAGCCGCGGUAAUACGGAGGGUGCAAGCGUUAAUCGGAAUUACUGGGCGUAAAGCGCACGCAGGCGGUUUGUUAAGUCAGAUGUGAAAUCCCCGGGCUCAACCUGGGAACUGCAUUUGAAACUGGCAAGCUAGAGUCUCGUAGAGGGGGGUAGAAUUCCAGGUGUAGCGGUGAAAUGCGUAGAGAUCUGGAGGAAUACCGGUGGCGAAGGCGGCCCCCUGGACGAAGACUGACGCUCAGGUGCGAAAGCGUGGGGAGCGAACAGGAUUAGAUACCCCUGGUAGUCCACGCUGUAAAACGAUGUCGAUUUGGAGGUUGUGCCCCUUGAGGCGUGGCUUCCGGAGCUAACGCGUUAAAUCGACCGCCUGGGGGAGUACGGCCGCAAGGUUAAAACUCAAAGGAAUUGAC
rnacentral:rRNA from 1 species